CGAGCCGGCCGGGCGGCCGCGUCGGGCCAGCGGGCCCGCCGAGGAAGGUCCGGGCUCCACAGGGCAGGGUGGUCGGUAACGCCGACCCGGGGCGACCCGCGGGAAAGUGCCACAGAAAGCAGACCGCCUCCCCGUCGAACGGGAGGUAAGGGUGAAAGGGUGGUGUAAGAGACCACCAGCGCCCACGGUGACGUGGGCGGCUCGGUAAACCCCACCCGGAGCAAGGUCAAGAAGGGCGCUCUCCGGAGCGUCCGCGCGCGACGUUCGAGGGCUGCCCGCCCGAGCCGCGCGGGUAGACCGCUUGAGGCCGCCGGCAACGGCGGUCCUAGAUGGAUGGCCGCCCCUUCGUAUGAAGGACAGAACCCGGCCUACAGGCCGGCUCGUCAC
rnacentral:RNase_P_RNA from 1 species